CGCUCUUUAGGAGGGAGGCAUGGAGAGGCCAGCUGCGCGCCUCUGCCCGGUGCUCCCCCUGCCCGGGCGGGGAGGCUGGAGAGAGCGCGCGCGAGAAUAUGGCAAGAGAAUCUGUGCGCGAGAGGACGGAUGCGAGGGAACGCGGGGAGCCCGUCACUUUGGAGCCACCCGAGCCCUGUCUGCAAAGAGUGCCCGCGUGCUCCCGACCGACCGAUCGCGGGAUCUGGGACCUCACUGGGCCCGCUCACUCCUUCGGCCGCGGCCGCUGCGGAGAAAAGGAGCAGCUCUGCGGCCCGCCCGACCGGAAGGUGCUCAGUCCUGCCUGCGUUCAAAGAAGCGCCUCUCCUUAGGGGAGGCCGGCUCUUCGGCUGGGAUGUCGGUGAUGUAAUGAGGGCAUCUACGCAGAGGCUUCCGCGCUGGGAAGGCUUCUCCGCUGCCCGCGGCUUAGAAACGCAGCUGGAGCCCCCAGGAGUCCCUUCUGAUCUCCUGCUGGUCCCCAGGCCCCGUGUUAGCCACCCCAGCAUCCUGCCGCAGGCGCAUGGUCCUGUGCAUAUUUGAUACGGGGGUGGGGGGGAUACAGGCCACCGCGUGCCCUACCUUCCCCACCCCCAAGCUCGCUGGACUUGGUGUGCAUGGUGCAGCGGGUAGGGAGGCACAGGAACCCCGCUCCGGGCCCCAGAGGGCGCCUGGCAGAAGCCUCCGUGGGCCCCUUACGCCACCACUGUCACCUGCUGCAUAAACCUGCAGCCUUCCCGGCCAGUCCGGCGAGCGUGCACACUUGCCAGGCGCCCCUGGGCCGGGCAGUUUCCCAGCACCAGCUGCAGGGAUGCUGAGGGAGGACCACGAAGAGGAUGGAAAAGGACAGGGAACGGUGGGCAUGGCCUUCUUCCACGCUAACCCUGGGAAGUGCCAUCGGAAGGAGGCAGGCAGGUACGUGACCUUUGGACAGCCCCUCUCAGGUGUCCCCUGAACCUGAACAAAACAAAGAAGGCCGCAGUGGUCUCCCCGAGAAGAAACUGGGGUGUGAAAGUCUGGGAGGAGGGCAGGCAGGGAAGGGACAGGGAAAGGGGGACACUGGCAGUGGGUGAGUAGCCCUGCCUGCCUGAUCAUUUGCUGGAAUCCUGCUCUCUGAUCCCUCAGGGGAGCACUGGCACGGGGCACUCUGCAGAGUCUGGGCUAGGCCCGCGUCAAGGCCACCACUGCCUUUGGGCAGGGACAGGUUGUUAGCUUGGUCUCCCAGCCUCAAACCCGGGUGGGGUGGCUCAGUGCCAAGGUCUAGCAUCCGUGGGCCAGAGCACGAGGCUGGCAUCAUGACGGCAAAGUGAGGGUGAUCUCACAGGAGGGGUCUCCCAUGGGAAUGGCGCCCAGAAUGGGUCUGGCCUCUCCACGACAUGGUCCUGGCCACCUCUUCCCCGAGUCCUGCUGCUUCCCUGUCCUCCUUCACAAGUGUGUCCUCGCUCAGCCUGCGUCAGUUGUCACUGCCUGGCGUCCUCUUCCCCGGACACUCAGGAAUGGGGGCAGCCAUGGAGCAUUUCCCCUAAGCCCUGGGCUCCAACUGCGUGAAUCCUGAGCAUUAUCCACUCACUCAUUCACCACUGUUACCGAGCAUUGGCUGUGAAGUCCAGGCCUUCUAAAAAUUAUUCGGGAAUGUGUCCCAAAUAGUGCCCCUUAUGCAGCCGCUCCUGGAGGUAACUCUCCAGCUUUUCCUUGCUCAGAAUGCAUUGUCUAUAGACACUGUGUGGGGCACUGGGGCUGUAGAAGUACCUCUGUCCUGGAGUGAGCACACUGUUUAGUGGGGAAACCAAGCCAGUAAACCAAGACGGCAGCUUGCUGUGUUGAGAGGGUCAGCCUGGGGAGCACAGACACCUGCUUCCGUCAGCCAGUCACACUGAUUCCGGAGUGAACACAGAGCUGCAGCACAGAAUGAAGAGAAAGCCUCCAGCAAAAGGCACUGGGUACUUGGUAUUUGUGGCUUAUCCUUGGGACAGGGGUUGCAUGGCGGCUGCCUCCCACCCUGUGCUCUGGACCCGCGACUUCCAGUAUGAGCUAAUU